AGAUUAAGUUAUUAAGGGCGCACGGUGGAUGCCUUGGCACUAGAAGCCGAUGAAGGACGUUACUAACGACGAUAUGCUUUGGGGAGCUGUAAGUAAGCUUUGAUCCAGAGAUUUCCGAAUGGGGAAACCCAGCAUGAGUUAUGUCAUGUUAUCGAUAUGUGAAUACAUAGCAUAUCAGAAGGCACACCCGGAGAACUGAAACAUCUUAGUACCC
rnacentral:rRNA from 1 species